AGGCAUAACACAUGCAAAUCGAACGGUAACAGGAAGCAGCUUGCUGCUUCGCUGACGAGUGGCGGACGGGUGAGUAAUGUCUGGGAAACUGCCUGAUGGAGGGGGAUAACUACUGGAAACGGUGGCUAAUACCGCAUAACGUCGCAAGACCAAAGAGGGGGACCUUCGGGCCUCUUGCCAUCAGAUGUGCCCAGAUGGGAUUAGCUUGUUGGUGAGGUAACGGCUCACCAAGGCGACGAUCCCUAGCUGGUCUGAGAGGAUGACCAGCCACACUGGAACUGAGACACGGUCCAGACUCCUACGGGAGGCAGCAGUGGGGAAUAUUGCACAAUGGGCGCAAGCCUGAUGCAGCCAUGCCGCGUGUAUGAAGAAGGCCUUCGGGUUGUAAAGUACUUUCAGCGGGGAGGAAGGUGUUGUGGUUAAUAACCGCAGCAAUUGACGUUACCCGCAGAAGAAGCACCGGCUAACUCCGUGCCAGCAGCCGCGGUAAUACGGAGGGUGCAAGCGUUAAUCGGAAUUACUGGGCGUAAAGCGCACGCAGGCGGUCUGUCAAGUCGGAUGUGAAAUCCCCGGGCUCAACCUGGGAACUGCAUUCGAAACUGGCAGGCCUGAGUCUUGUAGAGGGGGGUAGAAUUCAGGUGUAGCGGUGAAAUGCGUAGAGAUCUUGAGGAAUACCC
rnacentral:rRNA from 1 species